GAACUGCCUCCAAAACUAUCAGUCUAGAGUUCGAGAGAGGUGAGUGGAAUUCCGAGUGUAGAGGUGAAAUUCGUAGAUAUUCGGAAGAACACCAGUGGCGAAGGCGGCUCACUGGCUCGAUACUGACGCUGAGGUGCGAAAGUGUGGGUAGCAAACAGGAUUAGAUACCCUGGUAGUCCACACCGUAAACGAUGAAUGCCAGUCGUCAGGCGGCUUGCCCCUUGGUGACACACCUAACGGAGUAAGCAUUCCGCCUGGGGAGUACGGCCGCAAGGUUAAAACUCAAAGGAAUUGACGGGGGCCCGCACAAGCGGUGGAGCAUGUGGUUUAAUUCGAUGCAACCGCGACAGAACCUUACCUGCCCUUGACAUCCUCAGAACUUGUCAGAAAU
rnacentral:rRNA from 1 species